rnacentral:rRNA from 1 species
GACGAACGCUGGCGGCGUGCCUAAUACAUGCAAGUAGAACGCACAGUUUAUACCGUAGCUUGCUACACCAUAGACUGUGAGUUGCGAACGGGUGAGUAACGCGUAGGUAACCUGCCUGGUAGCGGGGGAUAACUAUUGGAAACGAUAGCUAAUACCGCAUAAUAUUGAUUAUUGCAUGAUAAUUGAUUGAAAGAUGCUAUUGCAUCACUACCAGAUGGACCUGCGUUGUAUUAGCUAGUAGGUGAGGUAACGGCUCACCUAGGCGACGAUACAUAGCCGACCUGAGAGGGUGAUCGGCCACACUGGGACUGAGACACGGCCCAGACUCCUACGGGAGGCAGCAGUAGGGAAGCUUCGGCAAUGGACGAAAGUCUGACCGAGCAACGCCGCGUGAGUGAAGAAGGUUGUCGGAUCGUAAAGCUCGGUUGUAAGAGAAGAACGGGUGUGAGAGUGGAAAGUUCACACUGUGACGGUAUCUUAACAGAAAGGGACGGCUAACUACGUG